rnacentral:sRNA from 1 species
UCUCUGAUAUUAAAUGCUUAGUUCAGGAGGCAUUUCUGCUUUGCCAUCAAGAAUUUUUCUCCCUUCUAAGAAAAUUUUUCUCCCUUCCAAGAAAAGAGUAGAAUGAAAGGAGGCAACUUGGUUUCAUGGGGAGUAUCAUGUUGUCCUUCUGAGUUUCCUGAUGAGCUUACCUGAGAAAGGAGGGUUCUAGCAUGGGAGUUCUGUUGUUACAAGACAUGAAAGAAUGGCCUCUUUUUAUCCCGGAGAGGAGAGUCCCUGAGCUCUUGGGAGUUGCCCUGAAACCUCUGCCGGGUCCCAGGUUUGAACUGAUGCGCAUGUGCUGGCAGUAUAACCCCAAGAUGAGGCCUGCCUUCCUGGAGAUCAUCAGCAGCAUCAAAGACGAGAUGGAGCCUGGCUUCCGGGAGGUCUCCUUCUACUACAGCGAGGAGAACAAGCUGCCCGAGCCGGAGGAACUGGACCUCGAGCCAGAGAACAUGGAGAGCGUCCCCCUGGACCCCUCGGCCUCCUCGUCCUCCCUGCCACUGCCCGAC